rnacentral:rRNA from 1 species
UACGAAGGGGGCUAGCGUUGCUCGGAAUCACUGGGCGUAAAGGGUGCGUAGGCGGGUCUUUAAGUCAGGGGUGAAAUCCUGGAGCUCAACUCCAGAACUGCCUUUGAUACUGAAGAUCUUGAGUUCGGGAGAGGUGGGUGGAACUGCGAGUGUAGCGGUGGAAUGCGUAGAGAUCCGGAAGAACACCGGUGGCGAAGGCGGUCUGCUGGGGUAAUGCUGACACUGAUGCGCGACAGCGUGGGGAGCAAACAGG